rnacentral:lncRNA from 10 species
AGAUGGCCGAAUAGGAACAGCUCCGGUCUACAGCUCCCAGCGUGAGCGACGCAGAAGACGGGUGAUUUCUGCAUUUCCAUCUGAGGUAGGCUUGGCCACAAGAGACAAAUUGCAAGGCAUGGAGACAUUUUUCUAACACUUGAAAAUUCUAUGCAAGAGCACCAGGCAGCUCAGUCACCUUGUCACUUAUCUACUGGGUCACCUUGUUGGCAUGGGAUGCCAGCCAGGCUUGCAGCUGCUCCAUCCUCCCCUGAAUUUGUACUUCAGCUUCUCCACUCAUGGGCUGCCCUGAGGACUUCAUGGUUCAGCAUCAGAUAUGAAGACGACAGCCCUAUAGAGACUAUUUAACCAGCUUCUAAGGUGGUUAAAUAUCUUACCAGCCUAUGUAAGGCCGAAUCCUACUAACAAAGCACUGGUAUAUGUAAUAUCCCAGUGGUUUGCUUCUCUAAUUGAACCCUGACUACUACAGGUAAGAAUUUUGACAAGAAUAUAUUAAUUCUUCUAGGAUGAAGAAAGGGAAACUCACUUCAGGUCAAUAGAGAUUGUCAUUUGGGACCCCUUCAAGACAACCAAUUAUAUGACUGUCUCUAAAAUAUUGCUAUCCAGCCCCCAUUCCUCACUUUUGUCCUACUGGUAAUAAGACAUUCAUCGUGUAUCUUUCAGAAGUCCAGAUACCACAGUCUGAGUAGUUCUUUAAUCUGCUUAUCUGGUGAUUCCAUCACAAAUGGUUCAGGGUUUCAGCCCCACCCCAUGAAAAGGAUGUCUAUUCAAUCAGAGAGACACAAAGAUGGCUUGUGCAAACCAAGCAAAAAAGACACAAGAGGAAUUUAUUCUGGUUAAUAAGCUGAGAGCAAACAUGUAGAGGCUAAUUGUAUGGUGGGCAAAAGGCUCCAGUGAAGAGCUGUGAGGCUUAUGUAUGGGGACUCACCAGGGGCCAGCCCAGGCUGCCCACAAGACCAUGAGCCACCCUGUGACUGAAUGAAGUGGAGAGAAGGGAAAGUAGUUAAGAAAUCAAGAAAAGUGUCUUUCAGCACCAUGGCCAGAAGUUGUGCCACAGAAUUGGAACAGGGAAACCCAGAGAGCCAGUGCUGUCCUAGUCCUAGUGCUGAAUGAUCCCAUUGGUGUCCUUAGAAGGGCUCUGACUUCAGCCCACCAGCAGCAUGUGGACUUAUAAGCUUUCUAGCAGAGUUGGAGAUCCCCAGGAAAAAGAAAUCUCUUAAAAUGAAAUGAAACUUCAAUCAACCAAGGCUUUCUAGCCUGAUGUGAGUUGUCUUUACACACAUAUACCUUUUUAACAAAGAAGAAGAAAAGAAUGGACAUUGAUAGAACUUGCAUUCUGUGUUCAUCACCAGGAUAGUUGCUUUAUAAAUAUCAUUUUGUUUUUAGUCACAACCCAAUGCAGCAUUUUCCUUACUGACAAAGAACCUGAGGCAUGGAGAAUUUAAGCAACUCCCUGAAGGCCACCCAGCUAAUCAGCAGUGGGAAAAGAAUUUAAUUCUAGAUCUUUCAUUCUAAAGCCCAGCUCCUUACACACGUUGGAUGCUACUAUUUCCAAAAUGUCAACAACACUUUGGACUAUCAACCUGUCUAAAGAGUAUUUGAAGCAGGGAUGCAGGCCUCUGAAGGAAAAGGUGCACAUUUUCAACAAUAAAAGAGAGACAUUCCUUUAGUGUAUCUCCACAUUCCCUGAAGGGGAGCUGGAAUGACAUGACGGACUUGGCCUCAGGGCCCCAAGCCUUCCCUGUUGCAGUCUUCAUGACACUCCUCAGAAGCAGCAACUCCAGCCAUGUCUGGAACCAUUCCUUACCAGACAGGAGGAUAUCAUGGCCUCAACUCAUGAUCUGUACCAAGCCAAACCUCUUUUGGGGUACCCACCAAGCCUCAGGCCUCACCUUCUCUGCCCUGUUGUCCCUGCCCAUCUGUCCUGGUUUUCUACUAGUUUCCACUACUGGACACUUGUCUGAGGCUGGGUCCCCACCUGGAUCUUGUGGCCUCUUGCCCAGGGCUUGGAGGGAAGCUGCUCCCACACUUGAAGAUGACAGCUGAGCAUGGUCCUUUGUGGGCGUGCUGUCAGGAAGAUGACAGUGCAAUCUGUUUAAUGUGCCAGUUGUCUCUGUGAGUCCCUCAUCCGGAUGAGCACUUGUCACACCCCUGCAGAGCCCCAGCUGGUUCUUAGAGAGGUGCUCCAGCUCUGUGAUUACCUAAUCUGGCUUCCCAAUCUAUCCCACAAUGUGUCAUUGCUGAGGUCCCUGUGGGUCUUGCAGAUAAACUUGCUACAGUCAUCCUACACAAAAAAGAAGCUCGUUAUCAUGAAACCGGCCUGCUUUUUAGCUCCUGGGCCCUAACUCACCCCAGAUUGCUGCCAGCUCUUUUGUUUUCCCACUUAGACCAAAGGGAUUGAGAAGCUUUCCCAUUCCUUGGAGCUGCCACCCUCCAUUCUAAGGCAGUCUCCCCCUUCACCCUGCUUGCUGCACCCCAGAUGCUGCAAGGCCCAUGUGCUGUUUUUGACUUCAGUACUUCAGAUUGCUGUGGGAACACAGGAGGCAGCAGCCAGAUGAGAAAUUGAGUCUGACUCUGGAGUAUUAUAAAGUCCUUAUAGUUACUGGCAUUAGGUAUAGGGUCUGUAUUAUUAAAGAGAAAUUAUUCACCAAACACUUGUUAAAAAUGGCAAGACAGUUUAUUUAAGAGCAUUGCAAUAGGUAAGUGCUAUGGUCUCAAUGUUUGUGUCUCCCUCAAAUUCAUAAGUUGAAACUUCACUUCCAAGAUGAAGGAAUUAGGAGGUGGGCACUUUAAGGGAUGAUUAUGUCAUAGGCCAGAGCCCUCAUGAACGAGAUCAGUGCCCUUCUAAAAGAGGCAUUGGGAGAGACCCCUCACCUUUUCCAUCAUAUGAGGACACAGCCAGGAAGCAUCAUCCACGAACCAGAAAAUUGGCCCUUACCAGACACUGAAUCUGCUGAUGUCCUGACCAUGGACUUCUGAGCCUUCUGAACUGUGAGAGAUAAAUUUCUGUUGUUUAUAAGCC